GCGUCAGAACCGAGAGCUUGCUCGCGGGCGACGAGCGGCGGACGGGUGAGUAAUGUCUGGGAAACUGCCUGAUGGAGGGGGAUAACUACUGGAAACGGUAGCUAAUACCGCAUAACGUCGCAAGACCAAAGUGGGGGACCUUCGGGCCUCAUGCCAUCAGAUGUGCCCAGAUGGGAUUAGCUAGUAGGUGGGGUAACGGCUCACCUAGGCGACGAUCCCUAGCUGGUCUGAGAGGAUGACCAGCCACACUGGAACUGAGACACGGUCCAGACUCCUACGGGAGGCAGCAGUGGGGAAUAUUGCACAAUGGGCGCAAGCCUGAUGCAGCCAUGCCGCGUGUGUGAAGAAGGCCUUCGGGUUGUAAAGCACUUUCAGCGGGGAGGAAGGCGGUGAGGUUAAUAACCUUGUCGAUUGACGUUACCCGCAGAAGAAGCACCGGCUAACUCCGUGCCAGCAGCCGCGGUAAUACGGAGGGUGCAAGCGUUAAUCGGAAUUACUGGGCGUAAAGCGCACGCAGGCGGUCUGUCAAGUCGGAUGUGAAAUCCCCGGGCUCAACCUGGGAACUGCAUUCGAAACUGGCAGGCUAGAGUCUUGUAGAGGGGGGUAGAAUUCCAGGUGUAGCGGUGAAAUGCGUAGAGAUCUGGAGGAAUACCGGUGGCGAAGGCGGCCCCCUGGACAAAGACUGACGCUCAGGUGCGAAAGCGUGGGGAGCAAACAGGAUUAGAUACCCUGGUAGUCCACGCCGUAAACGAUGUCGAUUUGGAGGUUGUGCCCUUGAGGCGUGGCUUCCGGAGCUAACGCGUUAAAUCGACCGCCUGGGGAGUACGGCCGCAAGGUUAAAACUCAAAUGAAUUGACGGGGGCCCGCACAAGCGGUGGAGCAUGUGGUUUAAUUCGAUGCAACGCGAAGAACCUUACCUGGUCUUGACAUCCACAGAACUUUCCAGAGAUGGAUUGGUGCCUUCGGGAACUGUGAAACAGGUGCUGCAUGGCUGUCGUCAGCUCGUGUUGUGAAAUGUUGGGUUAAGUCCCGCAACGAGCGCAACCCUUAUCCUUUGUUGCCAGCGGUUAGGCCGGGAACUCAAAGGAAACUGCCAGUGAUAAACUGGAAGAAGGGGGGGAUGACGUCAAGUCAUCAUGG
rnacentral:rRNA from 1 species